AUUGAACGCUGGCGGCAUGCUUUACACAUGCAAGUCGAACGGUAACAGGCCGCCAGGUGCUGACGAGUGGCGAACGGGUGAGUAAUGCAUCGGAACGUGCCCAGUCGUGGGGGAUAACUACUCGAAAGAGUAGCUAAUACCGCAUACGAUCUAUGGAUGAAAGCGGGGGACCGUAAGGCCUCGCGCGAUUGGAGCGGCCGAUGUCAGAUUAGGUAGUUGGUGGGGUAAAGGCUCACCAAGCCAACGAUCUGUAGCUGGUCUGAGAGGACGACCAGCCACACUGGGACUGAGACACGGCCCAGACUCCUACGGGAGGCAGCAGUGGGGAAUUUUGGACAAUGGGCGCAAGCCUGAUCCAGCAAUGCCGCGUGCAGGAAGAAGGCCUUCGGGUUGUAAACUGCUUUUGUACGGAACGAAACGGCCCUGGUUAAUACCCGGGGCUAAUGACGGUACCGGAAGAAUAAGCACCGGCUAACUACGUG
rnacentral:rRNA from 1 species